GAAGAAUAUCCAGCAAGUCUGUUUUAAUGGCUCCUACCAUGAAAUUCGUCUGCCUAAUUUUCUUCCUUAGUCUGAUUGGCAAAGGUAUGUGCCAAUGUCCAAGCAACAAUGUGGAGAUAGAUCAAGGUCCAACGGGGAAUAAGGUAGAAGGAAAACCAGAGUGGAAGGUGACAUUAUCCACUAACUGCAGUUGUUCUCAAACAGAUGUGCAGUUAGCUUGUGCUGGAUUUCAGACUGUAGAAGAUCUGCCCUCUUACAUCAUCACCCACGAGGGUGACACUUGUUCCUUGCACCAACCUGUUCACGAUUAUAAACCAGUUAGCUUUAUAUAUGCUUGGGAUACUUCUUUCGGUUUCAAGCUCAUUUCCUCCACUGUUGCAUGUUCUUAAGCUGGGGUUUGAGCGGCUCUAACAUUUUCAGUAAGCUCUACUUUUGGAAAAGUUUAGCGGCUAUAUUUUACUGUUUUUGUACUUGGGUUAUCUGAGAAAUAAUAAGAGCUUCUAGUAUGUUUCUGGUCCA